ACUCAGAAAGGAUGCCAACCGGCCCUCUGAUCGUACUGCAGUGCAGAGACAGAGAUAAGCUGCACAGGGCCAAUAACUGUGACAUCUACUGCAGCUCCUUGAGCUCAACAAGUCGCAUCUUUAUGAAGACUGUGACAAAAAAUGUUGAUAUGUGCAGGGAUCACACUUGUUUGCCCUUUCUCCGUUAUUUAUAACUGGGCGAUCUAGAUGCGGCAUUGGUCAGGCUUCCUGCAUUUAAGCAUCCCAAGGACCUUCGUCAAAACAACAUGUGACCAUUAUUUAGCCACGACAUGCUACUUAUCUUUUGCAGAAUUCUU
rnacentral:lncRNA from 1 species